CGGCAUGCCUUACACAUGCAAGUCGAACGGCAGCACGGGAGCAAUCCUGGUGGCGAGUGGCGAACGGGUGAGUAAUAUAUCGGAACGUGCCCAGUCGUGGGGGAUAACGUAGCGAAAGCUACGCUAAUACCGCAUACGAUCUACGGAUGAAAGCGGGGGAUCGCAAGACCUCGCGCGAUUGGAGCGGCCGAUAUCAGAUUAGGUAGUUGGUGAGGUAAAGGCUCACCAAGCCGACGAUCUGUAGCUGGUCUGAGAGGACGACCAGCCACACUGGGACUGAGACACGGCCCAGACUCCUACGGGAGGCAGCAGUGGGGAAUUUUGGACAAUGGGCGCAAGCCUGAUCCAGCAAUGCCGCGUGCAGGAUGAAGGCCUUCGGGUUGUAAACUGCUUUUGUACGGAACGAAACGGUGAGCUCUAAUACAGUUUGCUAAUGACGGUACCGUAAGAAUAAGCACCGGCUAACUACGUG
rnacentral:rRNA from 1 species